rnacentral:rRNA from 1 species
UACGUAGGUGGCAAGCGUUGUCCGGAAUUAUUGGGCGUAAAGCGCGCGCAGGCGGUCCUUUAAGUCUGAUGUGAAAGCCCACGGCUCAACCGUGGAGGGUCAUUGGAAACUGGGGGACUUGAGUGCAGGAGAGAAGAGUGGAAUUCCACGUGUAGCGGUGAAAUGCGUAGAGAUGUGGAGGAACACCAGUGGCGAAGGCGACU